UAUUCUCAGUUGCCAGCACAUAAUGGUGGGGCACUCUGUGGAGACUGCCCGGGUUAACCGGGAGGAAGGUGGGGAUGACGUCAAGUCAUCAUGGCCCUUACGCCUAGGGCUACACACGUACUACAAUGGUGGGUACAAAGGGCGGCGAAACCGCGAGGUCGAGCGAAUCUCAAAAAACCCAUCAUAGUCCGGAUUGCAGUCUGCAACUCGACUGCAUGAAGUUGGAAUCGCUAGUAAUCCCGGAUCAGCAUGCCGGGGUGAAUACGUUCCCGGGCCUU
rnacentral:rRNA from 1 species